rnacentral:rRNA from 1 species
UAGGGAAUCUUCCACAAUGGGCGAAAGCCUGAUGGAGCAACGCCGCGUGUGUGAUGAAGGGUUUCGGCUCGUAAAACACUGUUGUAAGAGAAGAAUGACAUUGAGAGUAACUGUUCAAGUGUGUGACGGUAUCUUACCAGAAAGGAACGGCUAAAUACGUGCCAG